CCCUUAGAUGUCCUGGGCCGCACGCGUGCUACACUGACGCCUACAGCGAGUACUUCCCAGCCCCGAGAGGUGGCUGGUAAUCAGCAAUAGGCGUCGUGAUGGGGAUAGAUCUUUGGAAUUAUGGAUCUUGAACGAGGAAUGCCUAGUAAGCGCAGGUCAUUAGCCUGCGCUGAUUAAGUCCCUGCCCUUUGUACACACCGCCCGUCGCUCCUACCGAUUUCGAGUGGUCCGGUGAAUCUUUCGGACUGCGCGCGGCCUCGUGCCGUGUCGUGGAAAGUCAGGUAAACCUUAUCACUUAGAGGAAGGAGAAGUCGUAACA
rnacentral:rRNA from 1 species